AGACAACAACAGCAACAACAACAAAAAAAACACAAAAACAAAAAAAAAUGAAGGCCAGACUUUCAGAUUUUAUCUGGCACUAGGCCUAUCUGCGGAUCUGGUUAGACAGCAAAAACCACUUUGCAUGCAAGAGCUUGUUUGCCUUCUCUGCUUCAUUUAGUUUCUGUAUUGAGGAAAUGAAGUGACCACAGUAAUUUUCAGAGUUCCCAAAGGGCGGCUAGUUUGGAGAUCACCCAUUCAAAUAGCAUGGCUGAGCAAGGAGCAGCAAGCAACAACUGAAGCAGGCCAAUGCCGCCAGGUGGAUCAGUGCUGAAUCUGGCCCCUCUAACAGACAGACACGGAGGCUGUGAGAGACAAUGCUGAGCACACCAGCAGCAAGCCAUACUGCAAAUAGGAUGCUCGUUUUGCUUCAGGAAAGCUGAGCUACAGGAGAGAGUUGAAGCUACAGGGUACCAAGGCAACCUUGCAACAUGGCAUGCACUGAGUGCUUCCACAGGCUUCACCACUUUCUUUAAGCAGUAAAAUUCUAGGAAUCCAUCAAACAGGCUAAAAGACAGCUGACAGAUGUGAUGUGAUUAGCAAGACAAGCCAGCCUGAAUACAGAGCAGACAGCACAGCAGAAGACACGCAACAGGACUGCAAGCUACUUUGCACGCUUCAAUGUACUUACGAGUGUCAAAGUAUUCUUCUGAAACUAGAGACGUACAUUAACUCCUACAACUCCAUACAAGGAAUAAGAUGAACAGAGGGUUUAACGGUUAGAUAUUGCAAAGCCAGUUCUAUGUGGAGCAUGAGGUGGAGAAGACUCAAGACCAGGGGCCCCUAUAAGAGGUAAAUAGCAAGCCCACCAGAGCUGGACAGCAAAAGAUAGAGCCUACAGGCUGAGAAAAGUUCAGAGUGUGAGACCGGAACCUAUGAACCUAUGAACCAACGCCAGUCAGUGAAGUCAUCCCAGUUCCCUCAUUUGUUUUCAAAACCGUGAUCACCUUUUAUCAGUUAUCAAAGAUCCUGCAACAGUAAUGAGACCAAAGAACUUCAUUAUUAAGCAAAGCAUACAUAACUCUGCAUUUCAAGACUUCUCUGCCCUUAUCUACAUGCAAAGGAAUAAUCAUUCACAUUUUGGCUUAACUAAAACGCACACACACAAAAAUCUGAGAAGUUACAUAUACCAUGCAAGUAACACCUACACAGAGCAUGGAAAUCAUAAAGUGCUACAUAAGAAAGUCUUCCUCUUUAGAUCUCUGGAUAAUCUAUUACUACACACAGACUAAAAUGCCACAUAAGGUGCAAGCAAUUAAAAAAUGGGAGAGGCAUUACUCCUUCAACCAGUAUGCACCUUUUUACUAGGUUAAACCUGUUCAUAUAACUGAUUUCCAAGUACACAUAAGCUAAAUUAUGAUUACAUUUAUCAAAAAAUAUUACAUGCCAGCAGACUAUUUCUUGUGAUGUGGUCCUCACACCAAGGGAGAAAAGCUUCAGCUUUAUCAAUUCUGGUUAGGAGCAAGAGAUGCCAGCUACAAAACAAAAGAAUUAAAAAAAACUAGUAGUCAGCAGUCAAACACCAAUGCAAAGAUGCAGUAAUUAUCAGCUGGAAGUUAAGUAGUAAUAACAGUUAGAAUAGAAUGAACUUUGCAAAGAAACUGCUCUGUAAGCUUUCCUUGGGUUUUCCGUUUUCUCUUCCCAUCACUUGUCUUAUUUCAAUACAUUACACAUGGGAAAUGUCAUCUUGAAUGUCUUGAGUUGUUCAAAGUACCGUGUUUCUUUGCAAGAAUAUCAACCAGAUCUUUUGAUGAGCUCUGGAUGGAAGAGAGCACUUCUGGCAUUUGCUGCUAAUUGGGAACCAAAAAAAAAGUCCAAAUGAAUUCCAAGAUUGUAAUGAGAUUGUAAUGUGGAUCUGACAUAAUAAAGACAGGGUAGACAGCUCCAGUGGUUCUCCCAGCCAGCACAUUGAGGUAGUCUUAUUCACAUUCACAUCAAAUAGCUACUAAUUGCUUUUUAUCCAGAUGCUUUUCUAAUUUAGGUACUAUAACUACAAAAUAGAAUUAUUCAAGAUCUAUGAGAAAAGAAGGGGCUGCUUAUUAUCUGGGCACUGCUGGCACUAGACGCUACAGUGGGCUUACUCUUCAUAAAAACAGCUCUACUGAAUUUGGAGACAACAUAUGCUACAGCUAUGUGCACACCUGCAGCUCUGGAUUCAGAGACAAAGGGUUUGUUAUGGUGUGGUUAAGAAAGAUGCUUUCAAUAGGCAAAGUCAUUUCAUACUGCAUUACAGAAGAAAACAGUUUGCAGUCUCCGGCAAAUCUUUGAUGUUUGCUUUUCACACCUGGUGAGUAUGUUAACUAAUGUCAUUAUGAACACUUUAAUCCAGAGGGAGAUAUAAAAAUAUUCAAAGAUUAAAGAUUUUAUUGAAGCACUACAUUUAAUCUAUGCUGUGUCCAAUACUGAUGACAAAAUUAUGUGCAAAAAAAAUCCUCUGCUUUGAGUAGAUAAUGCAUCACUAAAAAAUAAAAAUAAAUCUCUACAUUGCAGCAAUGUACCAGCUCCUGGGUUAUUCUCAAGGCUCAGACAAAACUUUGACAUCCUGACCUCUAGCCAUGUCUUAAUGGAGAGAAACCACCCAAAGCUUCUUCAUAAUGGAGAAUACCAGUGAAGAUACCCAAUUCUAAAGAGUGCAUCUCCUCAUUCCCAGCAUACAGACAGCACACUGUACAUUACCCAAGAGGAGUUGCAACUACUUCAACUACUUUACUGUUUAAUAAAAUAGAAUAAGUUGGAAUCUGGAUUUCAGAGGAUUUGAAGUCAGUCUCUAAAAUCCUGUAUCUGACUUGGAAAAAAAUUCAGUAGCAUAUAACGCAUACUUCUGUGACUUGCAUACUUAAGUGACAGAGCAACAUUUUCCUAUCUAGCACUUUGCACAGCAUCUGAAGUAUUCUUAAGGUGACAAGUGUGUUCAUCUUGACUGGCUAUUCUCCAAGAACAUCCAUCCACUGGUGUAACACUUCCACCUGCAACGGUCUUGCACAGCUACACAGAAUUAAGAUUUUCUUCUGAAGAGAAAGAAUUGCUUUCAAUUUUAACCAAAGUAAUUAUUAAACCUAGAGCUUAUGCAUACGUUUUGGUAGUGAUCAUAACUGGUAAACUAGAUAAAGAAUAAAUAUCAGUAUUUCCAAAACUGACACCGUAAUAAUACUGCUGCUUGAUUCAUCAAGCAGGGACAAAAUACAAACAGCAUGCUCCCAAUACGUCUAUUAAGCUUUAUGUGGUUAUUGGUAAUAGGUAGCACAAUAAAAUAAGCUGAUUUAAACAAUUUUCCUCUAUAACCAUGUUUGUUAGGAAAAACACUUGUAACACGAUGGGAAGUUUAGGACAAUCAUGAUGGUAUUAGCCUUAUAUAAGCACACAGAGCUACAGUUUGUCAGCAGUGCACUGUAUUUUGGAGCAGAUAAAAGAUUUCCAUAAAAUUUGCACUGCUGCAUACAUAGGCAGUAGUUCUCCAUGAAAAGAAUUAAGACAAAUUUUUGUGUUUUGUUUUUCUCUAGUCCUUAGCAAUAAAAUGGACAGAUCAGGCCAAAAUAGUUUCUUAAAAGUAGGU